CCUACGGGGUGCAGCAGUGGGGAAUAUUGGGCAAUGGAGGAAACUCUGACCCAGCAACGCCGCGUGAAUGAUGAAGGUCUUCGGAUUGUAAAGUUCUUUUCUAAGGGAAGAAGAAAGUGACGGUACCUUAGGAAUAAGCCUCGGCUAACUCCGUGCCAGCAGCCGCGGUAAUACGUAGGAGGAAAGCGUUAUCCGGAGUGACUGGGCGUAAAGGGGGCGUAGGUGGUUUGACAAGUUGGUAGCGUAACUCCGGGGCUUAACCGCGGCACUACUACCAAAACUGUCGGAUUUGAGUGCAGGAGGGGCAGAUGGAAUUCCUAGUGUAGCGGUGGAAUGCGUAGAUAUUAGGAGGAACACCAGUGGCGAAGGCGAUUUGCUGGACUGUAACUGACACUGAGGCACGAAAGCGUGGGGAGCAAACAGGAUUAGAUACCCGUGUAGUC
rnacentral:rRNA from 1 species